GGAAUCUUCCACAAUGGGCGAAAGCCUGAUGGGGCAACGCCGCGUGUGUGAUGAAGGGUUUCGGCUCGUAAAACACUGUUGUAAGAGAAGAAUGACAUUGAGAGUAACUGUUCAAUGUGUGACGGUAUCUUACCAGAAAGGAACGGCUAAAUACGUGCCAG
rnacentral:rRNA from 1 species